GAAUCUUGGUCAAUGGGCGCAAGCCUGAACCUGCGACGCCGCGUGAGUGAUGAAGGCCUUCGGGUUGUAAAGCUCUGUGGGGCGAGACGAAAAAGCCCGUUCUAAUAGGACGGGUGUUGACGGUACCGCCUUAGCAAGCACCGGCUAACUCUGUGCCAGCACCCGCGGUAAGACAGAGGGUGCAAACGUUGCUCGGAAUCACUGGGCGUAAAGGGCGUGUAGGCGGGAAGGUAAGUCAGAUGUGAAAUCCCCAGGCUCAACCUGGGAACUGCAUUUGAAACUGCCUUUCUUGAGUGUCGGAGAGGAAAGUGGAAUUCCUGGUGUAGAGGUGAAAUUCGUAGAUAUCAGGAGGAACACCGGUGGCGAAGGCGGCUUUCUGGACGACAACUGACGCUGAGACGCGAAAGCGUGGGGAGCAAACAGG
rnacentral:rRNA from 1 species